AGACAUCAUCAUAUUUGCCUAGGCUGGAUGGAAAAGAGAAAGCAUACAAUCAGAGAAGACGCCCCUUGUGGUCACUGGAUUUAAUAGUCCUGUCUGCUGUGCCUGCUUCUGAUCAGACUUUAGGCUUGAGGCCUCCAAUGCUCUGGACACAAACACAGACGACUGCACUGGACCUCAGCCGGAGCAAGAAUGCUGGAAGAGAGAGAUUGUCUGGAAAAGAGCCCAUAGGUCACUUGAGGUCACCUGGUCACUAGUGCCUCCUGGUCCACCGAAUCCGAAGUAGUCCACAGGAUAUACGGACCUGAAAUGAGAAGAAAAAAAAAAAA